GAGCUUGCUCCCUUGAUUUAGCGGCGGACGGGUGAGUAACACGUGGGCAACCUACCUGUAAGACUGGGAUAACUUCGGGAAACCGGAGCUAAUACCGGAUAAUUUCUUUUCUCGCAUGAGAAGAGAUGGAAAGACGGUUUCGGCUGUCACUUACAGAUGGGCCCGCGGCGCAUUAGCUAGUUGGUGAGGUAAUGGCUCACCAAGGCCACGAUGCGUAGCCGACCUGAGAGGGUGAUCGGCCACACUGGGACUGAGACACGGCCCAGACUCCUACGGGAGGCAGCAGUAGGGAAUCUUCCGCAAUGGACGAAAGUCUGACGGAGCAACGCCGCGUGAACGAAGAAGGCCUUCGGGUCGUAAAGUUCUGUUGUUAGGGAAGAACAAGUACCAGAGUAACUGCUGGUACCUUGACGGUACCUAACCAGAAAGCCAC
rnacentral:rRNA from 1 species